GACAGAGGGACACCAGCCCCUGAGCCUGCUUUGCAGAGAGCCCUUUCUGCAAGGAAGCCAUCUAAUGGGGACUGGUUGGUGCUGUACACUGCUCAGAUUGCAGAUACUGGAAUAAAAAUGCUUCAGAGAGUCUUUAGGGGUGAAGGAACAAAUGUCAUCGCUUCUGAAGCAAAAGCAGGGUCUAAUCUUGUGAUGCUCAGUACAAUUGCAGCAUUGUGAAACACCACUUUGAAUACUGCUUUCCUUACCUGUUUGCACAGCUAAAAGCAACUGUCUGUUUUUCCCUUCCAAUUUUGUGGGAAAUAGAUUGCACCCUUGUUUCCUUCCUUUAAGAAGAGACUGAAUCGCUUUUUAUGAUCCUGAACUAUGUGAUCAUACAUUCCCUCUACGAAAGCAAUUUGUGUUUUGGCAUGAUUAUGUGCAUACAGUAUGAGUCACAGGACAAAAUGCUGUGGGUAUGCUCCUUCAUAGAGAAACUGAUAGAACAUAUUGAAGAAUAAGGAUCCAACAUAAUAAUACGGUGGAAGCAGUAGAGUGACUGUCCCUGGAGGUGUUCAAGAACUGUGUAGAUGUGGCACUGAGGGACAUGGUCAGUGGGCAUGGUAGGGAUGGUCUGAUGGUUGGACUGGAUGUGCUCUUUUGCAACCUUAAUGAUUCUGUGAUCGUAUACCACAAAGCUAUCGCUGAUCAAGAAAAACCCGACAGCUUCACUUUGUGAACAGGAAAGACUAACCUUGUAGUUUAACCUCAAGCCCUUGAUUAAUCUGUUGCCGGAUCAGAGCACCAUAACAGCAAAGGUAGCUUGUGCAACUGUCAGAGUACAGGGGAGAAACUUAGCCCCGAUGUAGUACCAGUGCUUUCAAAGCAUCCAAAAAAAUUCAUAAUUCAGGCCUGGUGUGUCAUUUAAUACUAAAAAAUAAUUUGGGAUUUUUUCUUUUCUUUCUUUUUAGGUUUCUGGCUCUGUACGUUGCAGGUCAUUUAUAUUUUCUACUCAGAAGCUAAAGGCUGGAAGCUGACUCAUUGUUAAUAGAAAGUAUAAAAGCCCGCUAGGAGCAACAUGAUUCCAGGAGCUCAGACUAUCAUGGGAACAUCAAAUGCACCUGGCAUCGUGAUAAGGCCAUCAGAAAUUAGCAACACCAAAGGUGCAUCCUGGGUGUCCUUCUAACACAGAUCAUAGCUGACAUAUAUCUGUCUGUACUGACAUCACCUGGAGCCUCAGCAGCAUACUUUGGAGGUUUGAAGGCGAAGCCUAUGGAGAUAGGAAGAAGGACUGGGGCACAUUUUCCUACGCCAUCUACAAGUAUCUACAUUUCCAUCCUCUCCUCAUCUCAUCCUGACUGUCCCAAAGCACUUUUUUUUGUCCAAAUUGGAGUGAAUCCCUUAUAAAGGGCAGAUGGAGAAUGGUAGCAGCCUUCUGACCAAGGUGCUGUUGAGUAUUUUCACUCCCCUUGUCCUCUUCUGAAGCUGGACCAUGUGCUUUGUGAGAAGUCUUAAAUGGAGCGAUGUCUACUGCAGCCAAGAGAAUUAAUGUCACAAUUCUAUUUGAAGGAAAUGACGAACGUGUCCUCAAAUUCAAAGCAGACACAUCCAAUCUCCUGGCAUGACUGCGGUGAGGUACAGCAAUCUCCGUUCUGCCCCCAGAUCCAGGCGGCACAGCAACCCUGAUCCAUCAGCGGUGAGGUCAGCUCUGUUGGUCUGAGCUACAUCUGCCUCUCCAUCAAGCAAAGAACUGAAGGAGGCAAAGCUUGCAGCAAGCUGCAAACCACAUCCACUCCCACCACUCACCUUUACUUCUCUCUUCUCUUCUGGUUUGGGGUUUCUGACAACUGUAUCUUUUCUAAACGGAAGCCCACACAAGCCUCUCUUCUGACGCCUUUCACUUGUGAUUUUGUGAGUCUUUAUAACCAGCUCUAAGAAACACUUGAAAUGCGACCAUUAAAUCACUCAAUAACACCCUUCAGAGCACUUUUACACAAGGCUGCGAUAUGUGUGCGGGGACAGCCUGACACCACUGGGAGGGCACCUUCAUCUCUGGGACAGCAGCCCACAGAGGAGGUCAAGGAAGUAUUUCUGAAGAGCCAUUCCUCACAGAUGCUCAGCUUUUGAGUCUGAUGGCCCUGUAGGAGAUCAAGGCAGCCACCAACAGGGGAUAUGCUUUUACAGGCUGAAGUCCAUGAGAAGAAAGGAGUCAGACUUGUCCUGGUUAUGGAGGAAGCACUCCUACCAACAUCCUAUGAGACACAGGUCCUUGUCUCAAGCCCCUGAAUGCGCCUGCAAGCCGGAGGCCCAGCAAGAGGAUGAGCCCACGGAGGAGGCAGAAGGGGCCGAGUGUCAAUGCUGCAGCCACAGCAAGCACAACGUGGAGGGCACGGUGCUCUGACAGCAGUCGGCUUCACAGAGACUGCGAGUGUAAGCACAGAUCUAAUUGAAUUGCAGAUGUCUUUUCUGAUGGCUAUCUGGGAACAAGGCUUUGAUUAAAGCAGCAGCAAGAGAGAGGCAGAACAGGCUUGCUCUCGGUAAUAAAACUAAUGGAAGGAAGAAUGACCACUUACUGUGGCCUCCUCAGGGAGCACAAAACAAGCAGAUACUCUGAACAAGACUUUCUUCUUGAGAUUCAAAAGCUUGGCAAAAAUACCCAGCUUCCAGCUCCUGAAGAUCCUGAAUAUAUAUAGUACCGGAAAGCAGAUGACCAUGAUUUAAAUGAUCCACAAACUCUUCUCCCCUUCUUCCCAUACUCCUUGACCAACACAUCUGCUGCCCUUCAGGAAGGUCAGAUAGGCUUGUUCUUUGAUUUUAAUGACUGGCCAUUUUUAUUCUCUGUCCUUACCGACUCAUAGAGUGGCUUGGGUUGGAAGAGACCUUUAAGAUCAUGUAGUUCCAACCCCCUGCUGCAGGCAGGGACACCUCCCUCUAGAACAGGUUGCUCACAGCCCCAUCCAGCCUGGCCUUCCAGGGAGGGGGCACCCACAACCUCACUAUGCAAUCUGUUCCAGUGUCUCACCACCCUCAGUACAGAAUUUCUUCCUAAUGACUAUUCUAAAUCUACCCUCCUCCAGUUUAAAGCCAUUGGUUACUCCCAAGAUUCAGGUGGAUUUGCCCUGAGCUUGUACAUGCUGGAUCUCAUGAAGCCCCUUCAGAUUUCAUGGUGCCCUCAGAGCUCCUAAGGGGGAGAGCUCUCAGCCCAUCCAAACUAGAAGACAGAAUUGCAGCAUUGUGACCUUUUUUUUUUCCCCCUCCAUCUCAUGACAACUUGAACCACAUCCAAUAUGUAUUACUACAUACACAUCACUGAAAAACCACCUCCACCCAAGGCAGAUGAAGAAUCAAACUUUAAGAUGACCUAAAAAUCUGGCUCAGCCCAAGAACAAGGUUUCAGAGAACUGCUUUCCCUACGCUCAGCUGUCUGCACCCAAGCAGGUUCUGGGGGCCCCUAGGCCAACUCUCACUGCUUCUUGUUCUCACUCAGCUCUCCUGGGGUCAUCUCAAGGAACAACAACCUGGUGCUGAGCUUCAAGGAAAGUCUUCACAGAUUUGCUCAUUUUCCCUUUUGAACUGCUGCCCUUUUUUUGAUGCAUUUCCAACGUAAGGAAGCUAGUUUCUCCACAGUUUGGCUUUUAACUUCAUUGUUGAGCUUGGCCUUGCUCCUGUUGGAAACCGGACCCUGAUUCGGGAGGGCAGUUGCCAGUGUCUGCUGGAAACUCCUUGCCCUGGGAUUUUCAGCCAUGCUGUUUAUUGGCCUAGCUCGGUACGAGGUAAAGGCAGUCGGAAGUCUGCUUACUCAUCACAGCAGAAGAGUUUGGCCAGUGGCAAGUGUAUUUUGGUCUCCUCAAACAUGCACUUGCAGCUCCGCAGCUCGUUCCAGGCUUCCCCACAGCUCCUUCCAGCAGUCACUCUUGCUCAGCUCAGUUCCACACAUCUGAAGCCAUGCUGACCGGCAGGCCUAGAGCUGGGUGGACUUCCAGCCUCACGCCUCAGACUUGUCUCAGGUCCAUUCCAGCAGAAAACUCUCCAGAAUGUUAAAAACAUCAUCCAAAGGACAAAAGCAAGAAGUAUUUCAACACCUAAAAUGUGAAUGGUCGAUACUGGUCAAGAUGCUAUGUUACGCUAAACAAGCAUGCCUACAGCCAGCAAGCUUGAGUAUUGCUAUUCCACCCCACAAAGAAUAAAUAGUAAUUAAACUUGUUUGUAUUAAUCUCAAUACAUUCGCUGGAGCUACAGAAACCGAGGGCGGUAAUUCCCAAAUAGCCUUGCUGGUUUCUUUCUCCAGCUGGAGGAUAGGAAGCUGCCUUCCAGGCAUUGAUUUCUUCCAAAAGAAUUAGGGAGAGGCAACUCUAAGGCACUGUGCUUACUGCAGUGCUGCAGGCUUGGUCUCCAUGCUCUCUGGACAGCUUUCAGACAGUAAUGGAGCUUACUUCUCUUUCUGAAGCACUUGCAAAGCCUUCAGAAUGAGGACAAUCUGGACUUGCCUUAGAAUUACUUGCCAGACCUUGGCUAUUGAGGCCAGUUGAUUUAAAGUGCUCUGAAAAAUGAUUUGUUGUUGAACAAAAGCAAAAAGUCAAAACAAUUCAUUCCAGCAGUAUUACAACACAACAAGCUGAGAAGUCUACACUUUCUUUCGGUCUCAAGUGAAAUUUUGGUCAAACGGAGCCUGUUUCACUGAGAGGCUUCAGUUUUGACAGUGAUUGCUAACAUCAUCUCUGCACAAAGUUCUGCUGUCUAACUUUAGCAACUUAAUAACCAGCUCCAGAAGCUGGCUCCAUGGUUUUAAAGCAAUUAAAACAAUCCUGCAAAGAACAAAUGCCUAGAUUUGCCAACAGCGAAGCACAGCGUACUAAAAAUUAUCGACGUGUUAUCUAACAUAAAGCCUUCAAGCUUUUAGACAUUGUAUUAAAGAACAGCUGACAAAAAAAAAAAAAAAGAAAAAUCCUGAAUAUGCUCAGGCUGUUCUUUAAACGGAGAAAUAAAUCCAGAGGUCAAUCUCAUUUCUGAACAUAAAACAUUGUUUGCAAGUUUCGGUGAGCGAAUCGGGUGACAACGCCUAUCUGCACGUUAACAUCAACUUCUUAUGUACUCAACAUUACCGCCUGGAAGUGCUCGAGACAUUCAGCAUAUAAAGGCAACUGGAGACAAUUAAGCCACUUACAAAGCCCCAGAAUUAGCAUUCCUUUUGUCAGAUUCAGAUAAUUCAAGCGCUGUUCUGCCAUAAAGGCUAUCAUCAAUUUCUAAUUUUAGCUUAAUCCGUCAGAAAAAAGCAUCUAGCCUUUCCCUCUGUUGUUUGCUCAUUAAGAAUCCUUUUAAAUUACAGACUGAAGCCUUGAGAAUGAAAACUACGAAUUAAAGCUCGCAUUCCCACAGGGACAUGCUCAUGCAGUUGCUUUGAUAUACUGAUCCCAGGGAGGGUAGCACGACAACUCGUGCUGCAGCACAGCAAAGCAGUGCGCGAACCUUUGCAUGACCUGAACCCAACAGAAGAAUUUAGCUUGAAGUCACAGAAAAAAAGAUGGUCUAUCCUGACUUUGAACCCACUGCCUUCUCAUUUCCUCUGCUACACCUACUUACUCUCAAAGACGGGAUUCCCCAAGAAAUGCAUCUCUUCAUACUUCUAUAUGCCAUUGUGUAGAAGACUCUAGCAACUUCAUAAUUAACCUUUACAUUUUAAGUCAAAUUCCAGCACCAUCCUAAAAGUUGGAUGCUUUCAAGCGUCUCCAUCAAGAAGCAAUCACUUUAUAUUUAAUUUCAUCAGUGAUGAACACUGCAAGUACCUGGGAUUCAUAUCCUUAACACCACUGAAUAGGACCCACUGUAAAACUACGAACCCCUCCACUAUCCCAGCUGCAAGCUACAGCCAUGCCAUAUCUGCACUCUUUCACUUGUAGAGCUGUAGGUUUAAGUUUGGACAUAUUAUAAUCAUGACUACUGAAGAAGAAAGCAGCAUUUUUUUUUUUUCCAAAAUGGAGGAAAACUCUCUUAUCUUCAUGUAGAGCUGGAAGUCCUCCUCCAUAAUCCAAAAAUGUAGAUGUCAUACCGUGUGUCAAGUUCACACAGUUUCAGCAAAGAAUCAAGGUAAGAGCUGUGGGUGUGGAAAUGAGGUAUCCUUGGACAUCCACGAGUUUCAGCCCAAUCUCAUCGUGCUGUAGAUGUGAUGCCCCCACACCGGCCACACUGAGCUGCAGGAUGGCUGCCAGCAUGGGUGCUGCUUGAGCUCCUGUGCUUGCAGCUUAGGGAAAGCACUCAAGGCUCCUGGCAUUUCAGCACUGCUUCCUGGUCUGCCCAUGCCAAGCCCAAUUGCAACAUGUUGAAAUGACUGCAGUUAACAUUAUUACAAUAUGCAAACAGUGAUUUAUCAACAUUGUAUGCUUUAUUGAAAGUUGACAAGUGCAACAGUUAAAUACAUUGACGUGUUACAACUGUUUAGAGAACAUGCACAAAAACAUAUGCAUACUACUAUACAGAUCAUAUGCAAAAAUUCAUACUGGGAAAUCCAAUUUUUUUUUCUUUUUUUUUAAUUCUUUGCUAGGGGGGCUUGGUAAUUUUUGGAGUGGUUUUUCCUGUCUUGAACCAAACUACAAUGAAGAAAGAUUUACUUCAAGAUAAUCAGCAGCCAGGGAACUUCAGAAGUUACACAAACAGCAUAAAUCUGCCAAAUUCUGAACAGUUGCGUAGGUGCAUUCUUGUUUAUGUAGCAUAAAAAAAAAAAAAACUUCCCAAACUUCUUCA